CGUUUCCGGAUUUAUUGGGCGUAAGAGCUCGUAGGCGGUUUGUCGCGUCUGCCGUGAAAGUCCGAGGCUCAACCUCGGAUCUGCGGUGGGUACGGGCAGACUAGAGUGAUGUAGGGGAGACUGGAAUUCCUGGUGUAGCGGUGAAAUGCGCAGAUAUCAGGAGGAACACCGAUGGCGAAGGCAGGUCUCUGGGCAUUUACUGACGCUGAGGAGCGAAAGCAUGGGGAGCGAACAGGAUUAGAUACCCUGGUAGUCCAUGCCGUAAACGUUGGGCACUAGGUGUGGGGGACAUUCCACGUUUUCCGCGCCGUAGCUAACGCAUUAAGUGCCCCGCCUGGGGAGUACGGCCGCAAGGCUAAAACUCAAAGGAAUUGACGGGGGCCCGCACAAGCGGCGGAGCAUGCGGAUUAAUUCGAUGCAACGCGAAGAACCUUACCAAGGCUUGACAUGUGCCAGACCGCUUCAGAGAUGGAGUUUCCCUUCGGGGCUGGUUCACAGGUGGUGCAUGGUUGUCGUCAGCUCGUGUCGUGAGAUGUUGGGUUAAGUCCCGCAACGAGCGCAACCCUCGUUCCAUGUUGCCAGCACGUAGUGGUGGGGACUCAUGGGAGACUGCCGGGGUCAACUCGGAGGAAGGUGGGGAUGACGUCAAAUCAUCAUGCACCCUUAUGUCU
rnacentral:rRNA from 1 species